UAUUCAUUAGUAUAGUAUUAAACAAACCAGUACAAUAAUCUAUGUAUAUAUAUAUAAUAUAUCGAAAUAAAUAAAAUAAAAAGCAAAAUAAAAUAAAAUAAAUUGAAAUCAAAUUUUUUUGGAUAUAAAUAUAAUACAAAUACUUAUUUACAUAUAUAUAUAUAUAUAUAUAUAUAAAUAGUUAUAAUAUAUAUCAAAAUUAAAAAUAUAAACAUAAAAAUAUAAUAUAUACGGAAAAAAAAAGAAGAACGAAAAAAGAAGAAAAUAAAAGCAAAUAACAAAACACGGAAAUUAAGCUGCAUAUGAAUAUAAAGAUCAGGUGUCAAAAGGUUGGUUAUGUUUCAUGCUCAAACAAUAUUAUAUAUGAUAUACGAUAAUAAUGGUAAAUUGAUAAAAUUAUAUUAAAAUAUUUAUUAUUUAUUAUGAAUUUCACAAAAAUUAAAUCUUUUUCAAUAAUUAAUAUUGCAAGUACUUAUAUUUGUUUGUAUAUAUA